UAACACAUGCAAGUCGAGCGAGAAAGCACUUCGGUGUGAGUAGAGCGGCGGACGGGUGAGUAACGCGUAGGAAUUUGCCCAGUAGUGGGGGACAACAUGUGGAAACGCAUGCUAAUACCGCAUACNCCCUAUGGGGGAAAGCAGGGGAUCUUCGGACCUUGCGCUAUUGGAUGAGCCUGCGUCGGAUUAGCUAGUUGGUGGGGUAAAGGCCUACCAAGGCGACGAUCCGUAGCUGGUCUGAGAGGAUGAUCAGCCACACUGGAACUGAGACACGGUCCAGACUCCUACGGGAGGCAGCAGUGGGGAAUAUUGGACAAUGGGCGAAAGCCUGAUCCAGCCAUGCCGCGUGUGUGAAGAAGGCCUUAGGGUUGUAAAGCACUUUCAGUAGGGAGGAAAAGUUAGUCGUUAAUAGCGGCUAGCCCUGACGUUACCUACAGAAGAAGCACCGGCAAACUCCGUU
rnacentral:rRNA from 1 species